rnacentral:tRNA from 1 species
GAAGUUUAGCUCAGCCGGUUCAGAGCACUUGCCUUACAAGCAAGGGGUCACUGGUUCGAAUCCAGUAACUUCC